rnacentral:rRNA from 1 species
GACGAACGCUGGCGGCGUGCUUAACACAUGCAAGUCGAACGCUGAAGCUCAGCUUUUGUUGGGUGGAUGAGUGGCGAACGGGUGAGUAACACGUGAGUAACCUGCCUCCUUCUUUGGGAUAACGCCCGGAAACGGGUGCUAAUACUGGAUAUUCACUGGUCUUCGCAUGGGGGUUGGUGGAAAGGGUUUUUCUGGUGGGGGAUGGGCUCGCGGCCUAUCAGCUUGUUGGUGGGGUGAUGGCCUACCAAGGCUUUGACGGGUAGCCGGCCUGAGUGGGUGACCGGUCACAUUGGGACUGAGAUACGGCCCAGACUCCUACGGGAGGCAGCAGUGGGGAAUAUUGCACAAUGGGCGCAAGCCUGAUGCAGCGACGCCGCGUGAGGGAUGGAGGCCUUCGGGUUGUGAACCUCUUUCGCUCAUGGUCAAGCCGCAACAAUGGUUGUGGUGAGGGUAGUGGGUAAAGAAGCGCCGGCUAACUACGUG